rnacentral:rRNA from 1 species
GAUGAACGCUGGCGGCGUGCCUAACACAUGCAAGUCGAGCGAACGGACGAGAAGCUUGCUCCCCUGAUGUUAGCGGCGGGCGGAUGAGUAACACGUGCAUCACCUACCUCUUAGACUGGGAUAACAACGGGAAGCCACUGCUGCUAACGCAUCAUAUUUUGAACCGCAUGGUUCAAAAGUGAAAGACGGUCUUGCCGUCACUCAUAGCCGAAUCCGGGCUGCAUUAGCUACUUGGUAAGGUAACGGCCUACCAAGGCAGCGUUGCGUAGCCGACCGGAGAGGCGGAUGGGCCACACGAGAACGGGGACAGGGUCCAGACUCCUACGGGAGGCAGCAGUGGGGAAUCUUAGGCAAUGGGCGAGAACCUGACACAGCAGCGCCGCGUGGGUGAAGAAGGCCUUCGGGUCGUAAAGCCCUGUUAUUGGGGAAGAACAGAUGUGUGUGGAAAUGUAGAGAUCCUGACGGUACCUAAAGAAAAAGCCACGGCUAACUACGUG